rnacentral:rRNA from 1 species
GGAGGGGGCAGGCGUUGUUCGGAAUUACUGGGCGUAAAGGGCUCGUAGGUGGCCAACUAAGUCAGACGUGAAAUCCCUCAGCUUAACUGGGGAACUGCGUCUGAUACUGGAUGGCUUGAGUUUGGGAGAGGGAUGCGGAAUUCCAGGUGUAGCGGUGAAAUGCGUAGAUAUCUGGAGGAACACCGGUGGCGAAGGCGGCAUCCUGGACCAACACUGACACUGAGGAGCGAAAGCCAGGGGAGCAAACGGG